UUCUCCCCAAGGUCAAAUACUAUUUGCUAUUUUUGGAUGGAAAAUUGGGGAACAAGAAGAUGUUGCAAAUCUACCAAGACAUGGAGAAGGGUAAAAAGGCCAUUUCUACACAUAGGGGGGGUGUGCUUAGCUUUCCAUGGGGCGGCAUUAGUAAUUGAAUUUCCGCACAUGUAAACUCAUUUCUCACGUGCUUCAUAAGGCUUUCUAGAAGCCAAGCAUCUUUAACACAUGUUGAAUUAGUGAAUCUGAGAAUUCCUUUUGUGAGACCGAGAGGUUCAUCUAUAAAACCUCUUGGCAUAGCAUUGUAUGAUACUUUUGGAUGAUAGUAAGAAAACUAUGCUCAAAUGCAUUGCAAUUCUCCUCUCCAAGAGUCACUCUAUGCUUUGUUUCCUCCCUACAACUUCCUUCCAUGUGUGAGGGUCGUCUGAGUUGUAGCCACACCAUACAAAGCCUCAUUCCUUCCAUUAAACCAUUCUAAAUCACCUUCUUCCGCUGCCACAACCAAACUCAUCCAUUGCAACGUCUCUUUGCUGUCAGAUCUGAAACCAACCAUAGAACAACUCCUUAUGAAGCAACCGAGGCAUAGCAUGAACCUAUC
rnacentral:lncRNA from 1 species